rnacentral:pre_miRNA from 1 species
UAUAAUGUUUUGACUCUUCGUCUUAUUUGAAAUGUUUUUGCGAUUAAUAUUUUUAUUCUUACUAGAAUAGUACUUUAUGCGUGGCUAAUUUAUUUAAUUUUUUGUAUAAAUUUUUCAAAUAAGACGAAUGGUCAAACGUUACAUGCGAAAAAAC